rnacentral:lncRNA from 1 species
GAUAUGAUCAUACUCUGGGCUCUCUCUCUCUCUUUUUACUCAUGCUCCAUGAAAAUCUUUAUUCCUCAACUCUGAUUGCAGAGAUAAAACCACUGACCCCACCUCAGACAAGGCUCCCAUUGAGGCUAUCAGGACCCGAAUACCUUUUCAUUGAGCCAAUGUCACUGAGAUGAAGCUGGACGCCUGAUCAUGUAGACAGUGAAAAAGACUUUGCAUUUUGUUCUAAAUCUUAUGAGAAGUCAUAAACGGGAGGGUUUUGCUCACAGGCACUCUCCUAGCGGCUGUGACUCAAGAAGCUCGAGGCUGCCCAACAUGCCAGGCCUGUGAAACCAUCUGAAAGAAGCAUAAGAUGUGCUUCCUGCCUUCAUGCAGCUUCAAACCUUAAUAAUCCACAGGGAGAGCUUUGAGACUUAUGGAAACCAUCAGACUGCUUUAUCUGACCAAACCUCAAAGGAGGUUGAACUGGGAAGAGAGAGUCUGUUGACUCCAAGGCCAUCCCCAGCCUCCCACACUCACUCCUGAUCCUUUGGGAAGACCUGUGCCUUCGCUCGUUCCUGUGGCAGCAGCAAUCCACCCCUUUCAGAAGCUGUACGUCUCUCUCCAGUUUGCGUGGAAUUCUUGGAUAGGACCCAAGUUCUACUGGGACUGGUACCUGAAGCAGAGAGAGGAUAGAGAGGAGAGGGAUGGACUCCUGCACCUGACCUCUUGGACUGGUUGGAAAAACUGAUUCAACAGGAAGUCAAGAGCUCCGACUCCAAAAGCUGACCUUUGGUGUGCGGAAUCCUGGCUCUGCUGCUCACUCCUUAGAUAAUCUCAGUAGGGAAAAGUUCUAUGGAAAGCCCUGAAAUAGCAACAGCCAAAAAGCCAACACAGAAUCCGCUCGGCUCCACUGGGCCCAAACUCUGCCAAAUACUUGUCAUCAAGUCACCAGUAGGACAUGGGAAGGAACCAAUGCUCGGGCGGCAGCGGCUCAGACUUGUGACUUGUGUCAUUAACCUCCCUAGAGAACUGAAGCCAAUGAGGAAGUCACUCGAAGAGCCCCUAGAAAGCCAAAAUACCAGCUAGAGCAAAAAUGCCCUCUGGGGAGGCAGCCAGUUAACCGCCUGUGUCCUGACUGGGCUGAGAGCUGAAAUGAUGCCUGGCAGUGGCCUUUCAAUCCUGCAGCCCAGAACCCCCAGCUUA